rnacentral:rRNA from 1 species
GUGGGGAAUAUUGGACAAUGGGCGAAAGCCUGAUCCAGCCAUGCCGCGUGUGUGAAGAAGGUCUUCGGAUUGUAAAGCACUUUAAGUUGGGAGGAAGGGCAGUAAGUUAAUACCUUGCUGUUUUGACGUUACCGACAGAAUAAGCACCGGCUAACUUCGUGCCAGCAGCCGCGGUAAUACGAAGGGUGCAAGCGUUAAUCGGAAUUACUGGGCGUAAAGCGCGCUUAGGUGGUUUUGUAAGUUGGAGGUGAAAUCCCCGGGCUCAACCUGGGAACUGCCUCCAAAACUGCAUGACUAGAGUACGGUAGAGGGUAGUGGAAUUUCCUGUGUAGCGGUGAAAUGCGUAGAUAUAGGAAGGAACACCAGUGGCGAAGGCGACUACCUGGACUGAUACUGACACUGAGGUGCGAAAGCGUGGGGAGCAAACAGGAUUAGAUACCCGUGUAGUCC